rnacentral:rRNA from 1 species
GACGAACGCUGGCGGCGUGCUUAACACAUGCAAGUCGAACGAUGAACCACUUCGGUGGGGAUUAGUGGCGAACGGGUGAGUAACACGUGGGCAAUCUGCCCUUCACUCUGGGACAAGCCCUGGAAACGGGGUCUAAUACCGGAUAACACUGUCACGGGCAUCUGUGGUGGUUAAAAGCUCCGGCGGUGAAGGAUGGAGCCCGNGGCCUAUCAGCUUGUUGGUGAGGUAAUGGCCACCAAGGCGACGACGGGUAGCCGGCCUGAGAGGGCGACCGGCCACACUGGGACUGAGACACGGCCCAGACUCCUACGGGAGGCAGCAGUGGGGAAUAUUGCACAAUGGGCGAAAGCCUGAUGCAGCGACGCCGCGUGA